AGUUGUCGAGAACAAUAUCUGCUCCAUGGAAAUUUGCGGUCAUAUAUGUUUCCCCACAAAUAGCAACAACAAACAAGAACAACAAAGUAAAGGAGUGGUGAAGAGGAAACGGUGCGGAGGAGCGCAGAGAUUCUGACACAAACGAGCAAAUCUGCCCUGUCUUUUGUGCCACUUUAAACAAUCACAACGUUGGUGGUAACGGUGGCAAAUGUGACGGACAUAAAGUGAGAAACGUCGCUCACCUCGUACAGGGAGAUGGCCAUGGACGCGAACGAUGCUACCUGCUGAGACAAUUCAAGAUGUCGGCGAACACCGACAUCGCUGGACAGCGGUCGUUUCGACACGCACCUUUCCAAUUCAUUGAACCGACUCAAUUUAAUUAACUCGAGUUUCAAUUAUUUCGGAAUUGAUAAACGUUUUCGAAGACGCAUCUGACUAACUAAAUUGACAAGUCAUGGCUGAAUACCUUUUGACCCGGAUUAUAACAUACUCCAAAUCUACGCCACCAGUCGGGCAAAAUUCCAACGAUAGCUGUUUGUUCUGGGUGACUCAGAUAAAAAUGCGUUAGACUGCACAAUUUGACGUUUUCCUUUACAUUCGCUGAUUCAAAUGACCUUCUUGCCGAUAAGCGAAAACAUACCGGACUCGGAAAAUUUAACUUGAGCUGCUACACUAAAGUAUACUGAAGCCUUAGGUGCAAAGCCUUCUUAAUUGGGCCAAUAAAAGCGACGAAAUCAUCCAGCUACCCUAUGCGGCUUGCAGAAGCCGACCAAAAUAAAUGCACCUUGUAAUAUCCGGUCUUCAUUACUCGCUCAUUGAGACGGACCGUAAAUUUACAAAUAAUGAAAGUAUAGCUGACGUCCGGUUCUUUCAGAACAGUCUAAAGUAAUUACCAAGAUGACAAUUCGAUAUCUUGUGUGUGUGUGUGUGGCAUAGCAAAAACUAGUGGUCGAAAACGACAAAUCAAAGUUACACUAUCGGACUUCAGAUGUAUUACAAUGAAAAACAAAUACUUCAGCCAACAUACAUCGCAAACUACCAUUGGCAAGAAUUUCUACUUACCUACUCUGUAAAGAGUCUUUUUGCCUCGCAGGACAGUUACCAUCUGGUUUGCUUUGUUUCUAACCUCUUUGAUUGUGAGGCUUUGGCCUUCGG
rnacentral:lncRNA from 1 species